UACGGAAGGCAGCAGUGGGGAAUAUUGCACAAUGGGCGCAAGCCUGAUGCAGCCAUGCCGCGUGUAUGAAGAAGGCCUUCGGGUUGUAAAGUACUUUCAGUCGUGAGGAAGGUGUUAAGGUUAAUAACCUUAGCAAUUGACGUUAGCGACAGAAGAAGCACCGGCUAACUCCGUGCCAGCAGCCGCGGUAAUACGGAGGGUGCGAGCGUUAAUCGGAAUUACUGGGCGUAAAGGGCACGCAGGCGGUUAAUUAAGUUGGAUGUGAAAUCCCCGGGCUUAACCUGGGAAUGGCAUUCAAGACUGGUUAGCUAGAGUCUUGUAGAGGGGGUUAGAAUUCCAUGUGUAGCGGUGAAAUGCGUAGAGAUGUGGAGGAAUACCGGUGGCGAGGGCGGCCCCUGGACAAAGGACUGACGCUCAUGUGCGAAAGCGUGGGGAGCAAACGAGGGAUUAGAUACC
rnacentral:rRNA from 1 species